GUCUUUGUGUUGUGUGUAUUUGUGUUUUGUAAGGAUUUCCCAUGAACUCGGAUCGGUCACUCAAAUACCCGUCGGUACUGGAGUGUGCUCGCGGAACACGACGUCCUCCGGAGAAGAAUGGACCAUCGGACCCUCACGCCAGGGUGUGUGUGGAUGUGUGGAGCUCUGUCUGGCCAGCGGAUGAUGUUGAUGUGUGAGUCCGAGAGAGGGAUGAGCUGACGCGGACAUGAUGUCACGGUGUGGGACACAUUUCAUUGGCAACGUUCAUCAUUAUGACGCUCCUACAAAACAAUGGUAGGCCUACUCAUAAAAACAACCUAAACCUAGCCCUAUCAAAACGGGUGUCAGCCAUGAGAAUAACCCAUUCCUUUCUACGACUCUUAGCCAAUAACGCUUUCUUUAAACACGUUCGUUCUAAGCCGAAUGUCCCUUUGGGGUCACUGUAGAAACAUGGCUGGCAUUAAUGGCCGCCCCCAAGGAAGAGGACCCCCCAUGGAGAUAUAAAGGCUCGUUCUAAGGUAGGGAAAACAUAAGGGUUCUUAUUUUCAUGGGAUUAUACCCCAAAGAAAACCUACUUCUGAAAAGUCUGUUCCACUAGAUUCCACAAAACUCC
ensembl:lncRNA